UACGGAGGUGGCAAGCGUUAUCCGGAAUUAUUGGGCGUAAAGCGUCCGCAGGUGGUUCUCCAAGUCUGCUGUUAAAGCGCGAGGCUUAACUUCGUACAGGCAGUGGAAACUGGGUGACUGGAGUAUGGUAGGGGUAGCGGGAAUUCCCAGUGUAGCGGUGAAAUGCGUAGAUAUUGGGAAGAACACCAGCGGCGAAAGCGCGCUACUGGGCCAUUACUGACACUCAUGGACGAAGGCUAGGGGAGCGAAAGGG
rnacentral:rRNA from 1 species